UGCCGUUUGGUGUAGAGGUUAUCAUGCAGGAUUGUCAUUCCUGCGACCCGGGUUCAAUUCCGGAACGGGCGCC
rnacentral:tRNA from 1 species